UUUCUUACCUUAUAGAGCACGCUCUUAAGCUCGUCCUCAUCAUAAAGACCAACCAUAAGGGCGCUUGAGUUCCGAGGGCCUUUCCUUUACCGCACCGGCGCAGGGAGGAGGCAGGUGCGGCGGGCAAGCGGUAGCCUGCCGACGCAAACGUGAGCGCGUAAAAGGCGGAACGGGCAGUUGCAUUAUUCGAGCCUGCCUGGCGCACGACGGACGACGCACGCAGAGCAUUCAAAGGUGGAUGGUGCAAGAGGCGGUGCUGAGGGGUCGAGAGUUUAAGGAGUUUGGUACCGGCGGCGCCGGAGUGCCGUGGAGACGACGCGGUGCCGCGACGACAGAGGGAGGCGGCGGCGCCGCGGGUAGGCGGUCUCCCAGCCGAUGCCGAGGCCGAGGAGGAGGUUGGCGGCCACCCGGGUGCCCGGCCUGCGGCGCAGGACCUAGGCCGCGGGCUGCUGAGCGAGGUCCUGUCGCUCCCACUCGACGCGGAUGAGAUGGCCACGACUUCGUUAGUGACGUACAAGGACCUUGGUUUUACAGUACACGUCACUACAUGGACACGAACACCUCAAAACCCGGAGUACCACACCUGGAACAUUUUACCAGGUAGCUUAACAGCUGCUCUAACGUCCGCUCAUGCGACCUUCCUAUUUUACGAUAUUCGAACUGUGACUACUAAUGGGUGUUUGACGUUUGAGGAUGUUAUAGCUCUCCCAAGGCUGACAAAAUGAUAAGUUCCUACCUCUCUUUUAUGUAUCAUAAUGACCUUGAGACGGUUUUCGGCAAAUACACUCCCGGUAACUCUUAAGAAAGAACCUUGUCACUGGUAAAACCAAUGUUGCAAUAUAACAAUGAACCAGGUCUAAGUAUAAGGGUAUAUGAACUAAAAAGUGACGGUCGAUCACCUUUCUCAUCCCUUCCAUUUCAACCUCAAUGUUGAACUCGAAGAACAAUAGGGAAUCGAUGUGUUGAAUGACAUUUAUAAGUACAUGAAGACUCUUUUUUUCCUAACGACCUGGAGAAAUAAAAUGGAACUCCCAACAUUACUUAGUACUAACAAUAGUAACUACACUUUGUCCCAGCUUAUAAAUUCCGGGAAUCUUUGUAGAACAAUUUACUCCAGUUUAAUUCUAAAAACAAUAUGAGGGAGGCAAGGAUUUAUAAACAGAAAGAUCUGUAAAGUUUACUGAUGAUGUAUGCCUACAUACAUCUGUAUAAAAUCUCACAUCUAAGUGAGUAAAACGAAGCAUACAUUAGUGAACAACUUUACGGAUCUUUCUGUUCAUAAAUCCUUGCCUCCCUCAUGAAAUGAAAUACACGGAGUGUAAAUACAGACAAAGAGAAGAAGAAAACGUGGGGAAUACAUAAUUUUAAAAGCACGAUAAAAAGUCUCGAUCUCAUUUAUGAAUUAGUAAAUCAAGGACAUAUGUCUUCGUAGAUUCUAGAUUGAUAACUUAAAAUAGAAGACUUUUCCAAAGAGAGACAAUACAGUCACGUUAACAACAAAGACACCCCGACGAUUAUGACUCGAUUAACAGGGUCCAUUGAGAAGUUCCGUACAAAAUAAUUUGGAACACGAGGAUAAUAAAUAACAGAGAUUAGACGUUAUAUAUAGAUCUGAGUUGUUCGAUUUGGAACCAAUAGUACGUCUUGAAGAAAAAUAAUGGGAAAUCGAACGGAUCCUACAUUAGAAAUCGAGAGGAACCCGACUGUUUCUUCUGGGUGUGUGAUUCCAUUUUCGACUCUUUCUUUUUAUCAAAUCUAAUCCACGUCCUUAUAACCAUUCAUGAAACCGUCCGCCAUAGUUGUCUGACCACGGUACCUAAAAAUUAGAAAGGUACGACUUCUCAUCACGUAUCGUUCACCGAGGCUCACCGGACUCACCUUGGUUACCAUCCUAUGUUAUCUGAAUCCAAGGAAUCUCUAACUUAACGAAUAAUAACUAUUAUAGGUUGACUUAAUUAAGAUAAUAGAGUAAAAAGCACCUUUCAAUGUCGACGAGGAUGUCACCAUGACAACCGAUCACCGAUGUAUGUAAAUGGCACGGAAACUCAAACUCGAUACAUCUCAUCGAAACACUCCUCCAUAUCGUGUUAUUAUACUAGCCUUAAAGGCCGCUAGUGGUCUUACAAGUCCAUGUGGAUUUACGUCGACUUUGUGUAGUUCACGGUGUACUACCUAUAGUUUCAAGACCACUAGCAGACUACUGACGAACUGAAUUUAGUUAAACGUCUGUGGUUACCACUACCCCGACGUGAUCUCUUAUAAAAACGACUUCAAAGAUAAACACUUUGAUACUCGGAUAAAAGAGCUUGUCAUAAAUCAAACCUCGAGACUUGAACACACCCGAAAUGAAUUUUAAGUCAGAUUACGAUGUACACCAAAGCUUCCACGACCUCACUUCGAAAUCUGCGUCCACCACGUAGUCCACGAAUGUGAAAAAAGGCCUAAAUCCUGUACCUAGUAAGUAUACAUAACAUAUUUUUAGUAGGUGAAACGGGAAAAGACUUCAUAAUAAACAUGGACAGUGCCUUUAUAGUUAUUGUAGACCUUUUCGUCUGUUAGUGAAAAGUAGUAAAAAGAAUACGUCUUUAUUGGAAACCUACAUACCACAUAUGACCAUGGCUAGUGACACCAACUAUCUCUUGUAUGGUCGGUAAACUCUAAAGGUUUGUUCGUACAUUAUUACGAAUAUUAAAGUGUGGGACAAUGUAAAUCUCUAAAUGUAUAAAACUUCGUUUAGUUUGACCACCUUAUACACAAUGAUCGAGUAAAAUCCGGUUUACACUAAACAACUCUUUUUACACAUGUUUAAAUAUUUAAUAAUAUCUCCGAUUUAUGUGAACUGUAGUAGUCAUGGGACCACACAAGAGAGAGGACACGAAAGUCAGAUACAUAAUGAAGAACACUAGUCAUGAUAUAAUAAAUAACAAAAGGAUACCAGUAGGAAAUAAAGACGAGGACGAUACAACCGUCCAUAAAGAGGAGUGACUCGUUUACGACUCUGAUAACCUGAGGACUGUCGUACGAAAGGAGGUUGGAGUAAGGUCCAGUUCUUGGGUACCAAAGGUUACAUCGACAUCAGUAGAGGACGAGAGAAGUGGACCAACUGGACGUGCCACUGUGACUUGGGAAGGAACGACGGAAACGGAGGUUUCCUGUCACGACUACCGCAGUGGCAGUGGAAGUAAGGACGGCCUCGGCAGUGGCUGUGCGACAUGAAACGGCGGCUCGGCCGCUGCAACCAGUCCUGGGAGAACUUGCAGGCCCACCGGCUUCAGCACACCAACUCCUAGUGGUACUUGCUACCCAUCAAGUCCAGUUCCAACCGUGGCCACCGCGUUGACCGCAAAGCGGCCGGCCAUUGCCGGCGAUAGACCGCCGACGAUAUCGCCUCCGGCGUCUCCUUCAACUGCAUCAGUAGACGGCAGCGCAGCAUGUGUUCCGGCCCCAGACACCGGACCAACCCCGAGUGCACCGGCGACGGCAUCAGCUCUCCGCAGGGGCCACUAGCUAAACCGUACGACUGUUACUGCAACAACCGCAACAGGAAGUGCAUCCGGCAUCAGUAGUACCGGCUCGCCUACCGACGGCCCGAGGUCAGCCCCACGCGUCUGGCGUCGUCCCGCUGGUGCGGCCGCUGCACGCCGCUGCGGUACCUGCACGGCCUCUGCUCGUACAUGAACCGCAUCUCGAAGACGAACGGCUAUAGGUACUAAAGGAACAACCCGUGGGUACGGCGCUCCUACAGGUGGGGACCGCGCUGCUACAGGCCGAAGUCCUAGCGGCCCGAGUAGACCCAGCCGGGCGCCCUCCUCUUCAUGCGGUGCCGGCCACGGCCGAACUGCGGCUCGAGGCACGGCUGCUUGGCUUACGAGUGGAACCCGCGGAACCACCGGCAGUGUUUGAAGACCUAUCGCCGCGGCAGGCUGCCCCACUGGUCGUGGUCGCCGUACUGCAUCAGUCAGCCGACGUCCUUAAGGAAGUACAACGACCGCCGCUAGUCGGGCGCCGGCGGCCGCGGGACGUGGAGCAGGUAGACGAGGGACUCCGAGAGUGGCCACCACGUCUUCUGCAUGAAGGGCGAGUGGAGGAACGCCGAGUCCGACCUCAUCAGCGUGAAGACGAACGAGAACAACGGCACCGGCAUCAUCUCCAGCCGCAGCCGCUAGCGACACACGAGGCCCAUGUGUCUAAACGGCACCUAAGAGAACGGCGGCGACGGCGACGGCUCGCACUGCCAGCGGCACUUGAGGGACAGCUACCAGCUGCGCGGCUGCCACCACUAGGUCCCGCGCGGUAAGUACUACCACAUGGGCAGACUCGGCAGCAAGGGCCGGCUCGUGCAUUGCUUCUAAGGGAAGACGUACCGCCGCUUCCGGGGCUACCGUUACUGUAACCACAGCAUCCUUCAAAGUCCCUUCGGGUCGCUCUCGCUGUACUGCAGCUGCGGCAGCCGCUAGCGAGCCAGGUACCGCCGGUCGUGCAGCGACCUGCGCCUGAGGUCCCACAGCGGGCUCUUCUGCCGGAACAUGUACCGCUCGGACCGGUACCCGCGCUACGGCCACCGGCACGGCAACCGCAUCGGCUUCAUCGACCGCGGGAACUGCCGCGACGGCCGGCGUCACCUGCUCCACACCCUCGGCACCGGCAUCAUUAGGGACCGGCUCAGCAUCAGCAGGCCGCGCUACCGCUCCGGCGCGACGAACUCCCGGAACGACUUCCUCGCGCGGGGCUACUCGAAGGGCAACGUGUACCUCCGGAACUUCCGGAACGGCCGGAGCGUGCGCGGGAAGGUGGAUCGGCCGUGCCGGAACCAGCAGUACGGGCGCAGCGACUUCGAGAGCGAGAGCCCGGUGUGCGGGCACAGCUGCUAGGGGUGCUAGUGCAGGAGGGGCAUGAACCUGCGGCCGGUCUGCGGCGGUCGCGGUCGCGGCGGCGGCCACUCGGGCUCCUUGAGCCCGCACGCGCACCACACCUCGGCGCGCAUGCAGAGGCCCUUCCGCCAGUGCACGGGGAGGUAGGGGACAUAGAGGCGCUCGACGGCGCCCCACUCGUGGCGCGACUUCGACACGUACCGCACGCGCAUGCACAUGUCCACGAGGCCGCGGCGGAGGAGCAGGGACGGUCUGUCGCUGCUGUCGUGGCUGCACAUGGUCGGGAGCACGCAGCACUUGCCGCAGCCGUAGCGGCUGUGCAGGUAAACGUGCUACAUGCCGGCGGCCAGCGGGAGACGUCAGGGGCGGUGUGUACGGCGGUUCUUCGGAUAAUGCGGUUCGUCUCCGUUUCGGACUACCAAGUAGCACAGUUUACAAAGUCGAGUCCGGUCUCGCAGAAGAGGAGAAUACGUCCGACGCUCAUCAGUCUCACUCACACUCACCUACG
rnacentral:rRNA from 1 species